CGUGUUAACAGGGGUGUCUUCCCGGGUUUUUCUCCACGUGGCAGGUCAUUUCUACCCCAUAAAGUAGUUAGGUGAGCCGCAGUCUCUCGUUCCACGCUAGCCGUCGGCCCGGAGUGGGCUCGAGGAGGCAGGCGGCGGAGUUCCCUCUCUGGAACGUUGCGCAAGGACAUUUUGACCUGAUGCUGUAAUGCUGCAUUCCUCCUUGGCUCUGAAACCUCCUCCCACGUGGUCUGCAAAUCAACUUCUCCUCCCACUCCGCCUGUUUGUUCCGCUGCUCCGUCUGACGGCUGUUUGCAAGGGCAACGUCUGUUGCUUCUCUGUCUUUCAGAAAGUUGAGGAGACGAGUGAGGUAAUGCGCGUUAAAAUGAAAGGAAACACCUUAGCUGCACCCUUUCCUGGGGGCAGGGUGUCACCGAACACGUCAUUUUCCCAGAAUCCUUCGUGAUUUAGUAAUAGAAGUGUCCUUUGACAUAUAGGAAAAUAUAAUUUCCGAAGAGUGAAGCGACUUCGUGGAAACACAGGAUCCCAUCCAGGAGGCCAUUUAGUCAUCAUGUCUCCUCAGGAGCCUCCAGACUGUGGCAGUUUCUCAGACUUCCCUUGUUUUUGGUGACCUUGACAGUUUGGAGCAACUCUGGUUAAAUAUUUUGUAGACUGUCCCUCAAUUUGUACUCAUGUGAUCUUUUUCCUCAUGACUAGACAGAGGUUAUGAAUUUGGAGAAGAAGAACACAGAGGUAGAGUACCAUUUUCAUCACAUAUCGAGGUGACAUGCUAUCGACAUGGCUUACUACUGAUGAUGCUAAGCUUGGUCACUUGGCUGAGGUCGUGGUUCUUAAGGUUUCUCUGCUGUAAGCUUACUCUUUUCGUCUCUUUCCCUACUGUACUUUUUGGAAGGAAGUCACUAUGAGUAGCCCAUAUUUAAUUAAGGAGUAGAAGUUAUCGCCACGUCCUUGAAGGGGCAGUAUAUAUACAAACCAUUUGGCAUUCUUCGGCAUGGAUUAGUUAUUUAUUCAGUUGUUUAUUUAUGUCACUACAAACUCAUGGAUAUUUGUUAAAUAC
rnacentral:lncRNA from 1 species